UAGGGAAUCUUCGGCAAUGGACGAAAGUCUGACCGAGCAACGCCGCGUGAGUGAAGAAGGUUUUCGGAUCGUAAAACUCUGUUGUUAGAGAAGAACAAGGACGUUAGUAACUGAACGUCCCCUGACGGUAUCUAACCAGAAAGCCACGGCUAACUACGUGCCAGCAGCCGCGGUAAUACGUAGGUGGCAAGCGUUGUCCGGAUUUAUUGGGCGUAAAGCGAGCGCAGGCGGUUUCUUAAGUCUGAUGUGAAAGCCCCCGGCUCAACCGGGGAGGGUCAUUGGAAACUGGGAGACUUGAGUGCAGAAGAGGAGAGUGGAAUUCCAUGUGUAGCGGUGAAAUGCGUAGAUAUAUGGAGGAACACCAGGGGCGAAGGCGGCUCUCUGGUCUGUAACUGACGCUGAGGCUCGAAAGCGUGGGGAGAAAACAGG
rnacentral:rRNA from 1 species